GUAUUCAUCACAUACUAAAUAUUUUCUUUUUUUUUUUAAAUAAAUAACUUUUUAUGCAUGGUCGAUUCAUGACUCAAUGGUCUGGCUAUGGAUGAAUUCCACCACAACUUUGGACUUAAGGAGCUUUGAAAUAACGUCUCUAAGAUAUAAAAGGACUUUCUUAAGUAAGAAACUUUCACGCUUUAAAAGCUCUACCGAUUCUGAACGUCGUUCGGUUGGAUUGUACAUAUUCUCAAUGUUUGUAUUUAGGGCAGCAUCCGCUAAUUGUUCAGCGAGACAAAAAACACGUAAAAUAUACAAAUCUCUUUUAGGAGAUAAUUGUACAAGCUUUGGCAAAUCUUCAACUGAGCAUUUUUGACCUUCAAAUUCCCAGUCAACUGUUUGAGCUUUUGAUUCAUCACACACCAUUUUGAAGUUUGUAAAGUCUUCAACAUUAAGUACAGAAAAAAAAAGAAAUGGAGCAUGCCACCAUAAUUCCCCAGAUGAAUCAGAAACAAAUUCAAUCAUGGGGGGAGUUUUACAAGAUCUCCUUUUAGCAAGAUCAAGCGAGUCAUUAGAAUCCUCGGGAAUCAAGAGUUUCAUAACAUUUGUAAUCCGAUCGCCCUCAGGUUCAGGUAAAAAACCAUAAGAAAAUAAAAACUCAGCAGAACCUUUUUCACUUCCAUAGUUUAUCGUAACUUCUUCAUUUUCAUCAAUGUCCUUGUCAAGAUAGAGCUGCAUAGCAUCUUCCGAAAAUGACCAUUUUGCAUUAGACUUAGAGGAGUGAUUACAUAAAUCAAUCACAGGAGCUAAAACUGGAUCUUUAAAGGGACUUUCAAGGCACCUACUGUGAAACAAAGCAUCAGCAUGAACCCAUUUUGGGAGUGUUAUUUUACUAGGCCAGGAAUCAGAAUACCGCUGGUUUAAUGAAAGCCACUCUUGUUGUAAAAUUUUUCUCUUGACACAAACUGGAUUAAAAAUCGAAGUGCCUUGGAGGCUGUAGACUUCUUUUUCGGGCCAUUGUGCAGGCGUAUUGAUAGAUAAAGGAAGAACCGUUAAAAACUUAUCCCACUUGUUGGUUCGGGGUUGAAUACCGAGCCAUAAAUAGCAAAGAAAUAACAUAGCCUGAGUUCUGAAACUCAUAUCGUUCCAUUCCUCAAGCGUUGCGAUUGAAGCGAAUUUAUCACAAGAAUUUCGAAAUUGUUCAACUGUUUUGCGGCAUAUUAUAUUUUCAAGUGGAACCUCUAAAAGAACAGUUCCAGAAGUAUACCUAUUCAAAGAAAAAAUUCCAUUGCCUUUCUUUCGUAUUUUUUUUAUAGUAAUUUGUUUUGCUCCCGGCGCAAAUUGGUUGACCAACUCAUUGUAUUUGAUAUCCAUUGACUUGAUUUUCUCAGUCUUAAGCCAAAACAACGACGGAAAACUUAACAAUAAAAUGUAUUUAAUCGAGUUGAAAUUUAUUGGUUGUUUAUUAAUAACUCCACGACUUUUCUAAGUCAAUAGCAACGAAAAUACCCUGUCCCUAGAGAAACAACCGAAGCGACAUUAACUUUCGGUAACUCGAACCCAACCCUAUAUGAACAAAAAUACGACGCUUGCAUCACAAACGGCAGCCGAUUUUUGUACUAUAAGUAAUUUAUGAUUUUAUUAUAUCUAGUGGUCAUUAGCCUAAUACGAUUGUCGGUUUAGUUGAAAAAUAAUAUAAAAUAUUGGAACCUCAAAAUAAAUAAGUAGUAUGUGACAGCUUAAAUUAUGUAUUAUUAAUAUACUAGUAACCUGAGCAGAACAGAGGAAAAAUAUAUUGGCAAAAUUAUGUGAAUCUACAUGAAAUCUGUUAACUAUUGAAAUCAAUUUAUUUCUCCAAUUUUUCGUUUUAUGGUUAAAAUUAAUAUAAGGACGCAGACUAAUAUUUUAACAGAGUAGUAGUAAAAAAUCCCUAUAGAGCUUUUUUGGUUGGUUUAUAUAGAAACAAGCUUUCUAAAAAGUUAUCAAAUCAUUGUAUCUUCUUGCUGAUUAAGUACAAUACCCUACGGUAGUACCUGGUACCUAAUAGGUCUACACUGUCAAAUUCAUCAGAUCCGAUGGGCCCACUAUAGCAGAGUUUCACGAACUAAUUGGAUUA